rnacentral:tRNA from 3 species
CGGGAUGUAGCGCAGCUUGGUAGCGCGCCUGCUUUGGGAGCAGGAUGUCGUAGGUUCGAAUCCUAUCAUCCCGA